GAUUGCUAGCUGUAUUUAGUCUUGCAGUCAAUUGUAACUUAGUUCUUUUUAUGUGUCACACUCUUAUUUUCUUUUCCAUUCAUCUUGCUCUCAAAGUCAUGACGAAGCCCAAAGCAAGAAGCUGCCCCUAUUGUGGAGCAAGCAUCAUGCCAAUCAGAAGACCAGCUGCUGUGUUUGCCUCCUGCAAAAAAAGUCAUUCAAAGAAAAAGAAAAGGCAGUUGAGCAAGCUUGCUGCCUUUGGCUACAACCCAAUUUUGUUCAUCAGGAAGAAGAAGAAGAGGGUGAACACAGUAAAUGCUGAAAUGAUCACCUACAUGUGACCUGGAGGGGACGGGCCUGUAAAACCCUUUUUAGAAAAGAUGAGCAGGGCAUAUGAGUACAUUAUUAAAAGUAAGGCAAACAUCUGUUUUUAUGAUUUAUGCUUUGGGAUGUGCUGUCAUUGUGAGUAAUAUUUAUAUUUAUAUUUUUCAGAUUCUCAAGGAUGCAAUUGCCAGAAGCUCCCAGCCCA
rnacentral:lncRNA from 15 species